GUCCCCUCAUGGGUGCUACCAGAGUCCCUCCCCAGCCUGAGACUCCUGAAGCCCCAGACUCAGGGAUUUUCUUUCCACUAAGCUCUGAACAAGAAGCUGAAGCUCAAGGAAGGAGGUUCUGGGACUCAUCUCAGAUCCCAUGGCCAGGAAGCGGUGGCCACUCUGGAAUUCUUGACCCUGCCCAGACCAGCACCUUCCACAGCAGAGACCCCCUCCAAGGAGCGGGCGACGUGUGACUUCCCCAUGGGUGGACUCUGGGCUGCAGUGAUCGGCUAGCGGUGCCAUCUUUAGUCUGGGAGCUGUGUGAAGCCUGCUCCCCACCUUCCCCCUCCUGCAAAUAUUGGGGGAGGGGCAUGGAGGACAGGAAGAUAGAAGCAAAAGUGGCAGUGACCGGUGCAUGAGAGAUUGGGAGAUACGUGCUGGGGAGGGGUUCCCCGGAGCAGAGCUGGCUGCCCUUGGCACUGGGCCCAGGCGGAGGAGUGGCAAGACCAACAGUUCCUGGAGCACAAGUCCCUCAGCCGGUGCCCAGUGCCAGCCAUCGCCAUGUUCUCAUCUGCCAGCAGCAAAAUGAGAAAAAUAAGGACAAUAUAGUGAGGUUUUACUAAAGCUAGGUUUACUCAAUCCAAAAGACUGUCCUUUUAUCUGAGCUUUGUAUUUUCAAUCGUGUGUGUGUCUGUGUGUGUGUGUCUGUGUCUGUGUGUGUCUGUGUGUGUGAGCACAAAAGGACCUUUCCUUUGACAUUUCCUUUUAAUGACCUCAAACUCAGCAAAAUAAAAAAACUGGUGACUAGCUGGUGUGGUGGCUCAUGCCUGAAAUCCCAGCACUUUGGGAGGCCGAGGUGGACAGAUCGCUUAAGGCCAGUAGUCUGAGACCAGCCUGGCCAACAUGGUGAAACCCCAUCUCUACUAAAAAUACAGAAAUUAGCUGGGUAUGGUGGCGGACGCCUGUAAUUCCAGCUACUCGAGAAGCUGAGGCACAGGAGUCGCUUAAACCUAGGAGGCGGGGGUUGCAGUGAGCUGAGAUGGCACCACUGCGCUCCAGCCUGGGUGACACAGCGAGGCUCUGUCGCAAAAACAAAACUGGUGACGACGUCAGAUCCUAAAUUUUUUUAUUUUUUUGAAAUGUUAGUGAUGUGAGAAAUCCGAAAGGCUGAGACCCACUGGGCUAGCUUGUACGUGGCUCUGGGUGAAACCUGGCACAGGGGGGCAAUGUUUUUUAAUUGAGGGAUGAAUCUAAACAGCUGGAAGCUUCUCCCGGGGGGAGGAGGGGCUGGGUUCUUGCCCAGACUCAGCCCCUGAGGCCCCAGCCUAGGCAUCCCCAGGAAACCUGAGCAGAAGGAACAUUCACGUAACUGUACUGGGAAUUCUGAGAAGGGCCUAGGGGCCAGUUCCCCAUGCCACACACCCUCUGCUCAUCCCUGACCGGGAGCCGCGAGGCAAUCUUCCCUUAAACCCCACCUCGGCCUCCCCCAGCACCCCCAAGGCUGGUUCCAAAAUAGUCCAGGCCCUUGGAGGAGACAUCAUGGGUCGGGCUGGCUGCCUGUCCCGAGAGGACAUGGCAAUAACGCUGUGGCCGAAUAUAGAGGGACAGUAGACGCUGACAGGGGCCCUGGGGCCUGGGAGCCUCGCAGGUUCCACGGUGCCUGCUCCACCCCCAUCCCUUCUGAGCCCUGCACCCCCUAACCUGGACAGCUGGGAGGCUGGCGCCCCUCUCCUGGCCCAGCCCGGCCCACCUGGGGACAGGUCCGAACAAGCCCAGGUAGAACAGGAGGCCGGCCUAGGAGGGCCCAGGGCCUGGGCUGGGCAUGAGCUUGGGGCCACCUCUCUCUAGGGACUCAAAGCAUUUUAUAAGCUUAACUUCCCACAGGACAUCCCGAGAUCAGGAGACCAAGAGGAACCGGGGUGUCUGCUGCAGAGCCACUCCUGCUCUCUGUUCUCAGCUUCCGAAGGAGAACAGGGCCAUAAAGCUGGGGUGUGGGAGGCUGAGAGGAGAGCAGGAAGCCAGUCCAAACCCCAAUAAACUGCUGGUUGAAUCGAAUCACAAAUAAUUAGUCCCGAUGGCCAAGACUGCCUCCACCCUCCUCUCCUGGGAAUUAAAAGUCAAAGGGCAGAGCUGCUGACGCAGAUGCCAGGGGAGACAUGAGGCUUGGAACAGCUGGGACUCAGCUCCCAGGCUCCACUGCCCCAGGUCGCAGGCCCUGGUUGCCCCGGUUGCCCCGGACACGAUGUCCCCCAGGCAGGCCCCUAGAGCUUCAUUGCCAACUCAGGGAAGGGGGCUCUGCUCCCUC
rnacentral:lncRNA from 10 species